GCCGGGGUGGCGGAAUUGGCAGACGCGCUAGGUUCAGGACCUAGUGGGCUUCGGCCCGUGCGGGUUCAAGUCCCGCCCCCGGCA
rnacentral:tRNA from 1 species